rnacentral:rRNA from 1 species
GAAUCAAAGAAGGUAAUAAUCCUGUAGUCGAAAAUGUUGUCUCUCUUGAGUGGAUCCUGAGUACGACGGAGCACGUGAAAUUCCGUCGGAAUCUGGGAGGACCAUCUCCUAAGGCUAAAUACUCUCUAGUGACCGAUAGUGAACCAGUACCGUGAGGGAAAGGUGAAAAGCACCCCGGAAGGGGAGUGAAAUAGAACCUGAAACCGUGUGCUUACAAGUAGUCAGAGCCCGUUAAUGGGUGAUGGCGUGCCUUUUGUAGAAUGAACCGGCGAGUUACGAUUUGAUGCAAGGUUAAGCAGUAAAUGUGGAGCCGUAGCGAAAGCGAGUCUGAAUAGGGCGUUUAGUAUUUGGUCGUAGACCCGAAACCAGGUGAUCUACCCUUGGUCAGGUUGAAGUUCAGGUAACACUGAAUGGAGGACCGAACCGACUUACGUUGAAAAGUGAG